AUCAGAUGUCUGCAUUUUUAUCAGGUACACCAAUCUAGUCAUCAUUUUACGUUGGGAUGAAUGCAGCUACAAAGUUUCAGAUUAUAACCGCAUAGAAACUCAGUUAAUGGGUGUGAUAUAUGGAAUGUAUACUCAUACAGCUGAGAUCUGAUGCAGCGCCUUUUGCAGUUGCGCAACAGACAAACGUUUUAUGAUUAUGUAACAUCAAGUUCACAAAAAAAUGUAUUUAUCUGGAAACAAAUUUCUUAAACAUCGGCCUUUUACGUAUAACAGUGUUCAUUAUCAAGUCUGGCUAUUUAUUUGACAUUGAAAAUGAAACUAGCAAGUGGAAGUAAUCAUAGGAAAUUCAAAGCUGACUAAUACAUGUUAUUCUAUUAUUUGAACAAUAAGAAAAGUUGUAAGAGAAUGUCUGAUGUUGUAAGAAGAACAAAAACGUUCGUUAUUCAGAAGAUUGCUAAACUGGAAGUGCACAAAUUUGGUCGGGUUUGUGUUUAGAUGAAUUCAUAUACAAACAUGCAGAGAGGACUUACACAGAAAUACAGCUAAACAGAUAUGGAAUUCACUGUAAACAGUCCGUUUAAAUCCAUUACAGGGAACUACAUGGGUGGUUACCCUACCAGUUGACAAUGACAACGUAUUAUGGAGUGUUCGGUCAUUCAGUUGACAUCUUUCGUUAUGCUGAUAUGGGUGUUUUGCAUAGUUGCAAAACCAACAGUGUUCGUUGGGUCAUACAACCUCAACUUUAAAAGUUUAAAAUUUGAGACAAAAUCAUACUCAUGGAAAACAACUUCACAAACAUCUCCCUUUGCCGUAACCAAGCAUCGAUUCUUUACUGUACCUACUGUUGGAAUGUUAAAAGCAGAAUUAUCACUGACGACUAGAAGCAAGCAUAGAAAAUUGAAGAUCGCCGCAUGCAUAACUUUAAAACGGACAAAACAAAAAACCUGUCAAAAAAUAUCUGGUAUACCAGGAAGAGGAACAGAGUUUAUCAGUCAAUUAAUUCUUCAGGAAGUGUUUGAAGUGCAGAAAAAUGAUCAGCUUGAAGUGGCAAUUUUACGUGGGAAAAAAUACAUCUACAAAGUCGCCGAAUAUAAUCGCCUUAUUUUAUAUUAUCUCUAGAUGUGCAGGGGAAAUAGUAUUUAGUGAACAUUUUGAUAGAAAUUCAAGGAUAUAAAAUAUUAGACUUAUGUCAUAUAUCAAUACUCUCGAUGCGUAUUUGACAUGUUCGCACUACAAAAAUCAUUUUAAAAUAACGCCAUCUUUAAUUUUGAUUAUUUUAUGUCAACUGUAAUUUCUAACACCAGUCCAACAACAAGAAGAAACAUAUAUACACUCAAAGUGUAUUUUGACGCCAUUUGUUCAAAUCAAAACCAAUCUUUGAAUAAACUAUAAAUUAACCAAAGAAUUACUGUUUAAUGUGUUUGAUUUUAAAUCCCCGCGAUCCUCGUCCUUCUA